UACGUAGGGUGCGAGCGUUAAUCGGAAUUACUGGGCGUAAAGCGUGCGCAGGCGGUUCGUUAAGUCAGAUGUGAAAGCCCCGGGCUCAACCUGGGAACCGCGCUUGAGACUGGCAUGCUCGAGUUCGGGAGAGGAUGGUGGAAUUCCCAGUGUAGAGGUGAAAUUCGUAGAUAUUGGGAAGAACACCGAUGGCGAAGGCAGCCAUCUGGACCGACACUGACGCUGAGGCGCGAAAGCGUGGGUAUCAAACAGG
rnacentral:rRNA from 1 species